UACUGCACUGCCACUCAUCAAAAAGAUUUUUUGGGCUGGGUGUAGUGGCUCACACCUGCAAUCCCAGCAUUCUGGGAUGCCAAGGAGAAUGGGUCAUUUGAGGUCAGGAGUUCAAGAUCAGCCUAGCCAACAUAGUGAAAUGCUGUCUCUACUGAAAAUGCAAAAAUUAGUUGGGAGAGGUGGUGUGUUCCUGUAAUCCCAGCUACUUAAGAGGCUGAAGCAGGAGAAUUGCUUGAACCCAGGAGGAGGAGGUUGCAGUGAGCCAACAUCAUGCCAAACUCAGUCUCAAAAGCCAAAGGUGGCUUGUUUCUAUUCGCAAGCCCUCAACCAUUCAGCAUCUCCACCCUCUUCUGAGGUUCUUCCCAUCUCUCUGAAGCUGUAAUCCCAUCGUCACUUCCUCUGGCAACACGGGGACUGCCUGCCAUGCCCUAACUCCUCCUUGUGCUUUUGGCCUUCGCCUAAGAGUUCCUUGGAGUUUCUUCACAGCAUCUGUAGCCAUCUGAAGUGUCAUCUUCUGUACUAUAUUGCCAGUGCCUACAAUUACGACUGGUAUACUCAACCAG
ensembl:lncRNA novel transcript, antisense to a novel protein